AAGUUGUUCGCCUGGGGCAAACUUUGUCUUGAAAACAAAGUCAAAGUGUUCAAAUCACUUAAUAACUUA
rnacentral:tRNA from 1 species